rnacentral:misc_RNA from 1 species
GAUGAAGAACGCAGCGAAAUGCGAUAAGUAGUGUGAAUUGCAGAAUUCAGUGAAUCAUCGAAUCUUUGAACGCACAUUGCGCCCCUUGGUAUCCCGAGGGGCAUGCCUGUUCGAGCGUCAUUUCACCACUCAAGCCUGGCUUGGUGUUGGGCGACGUCCCCUUUGGGGACGCGUCUCGAAACGCUCGGCGGCGUGGCACCGGCUUUAAGCGUAGCAGAAUCUUUCGCUUUGGAAGUCGGGGCCCCGUCUGCCGGAAGACCUACUCGCAAGGUUGACCUCGGAUCAGGCAGGGAUACCCGCUGAACUUAAGCAUAUCAAUAAGCGGAGA